GACGAACGCUGGCGGCGUGCUUAACACAUGCAAGUCGAACGGAAAGGCCCUGCUUUUGUGGGGUGCUCGAGUGGCGAACGGGUGAGUAACACGUGAGUAACCUGCCCUUGACUUUGGGAUAACUUCAGGAAACUGGGGCUAAUACCGGAUAGGAGCUCCUGCUGCAUGGUGGGGGUUGGAAAGUUUCGGCGGUUGGGGAUGGACUCGCGGCUUAUCAGCUUGUUGGUGGGGUAGUGGCUUACCAAGGCUUUGACGGGUAGCCGGCCUGAGAGGGUGACCGGCCACAUUGGGACUGCGAUACGGACCAGACUCCUACGGGAGGCAGCAGGGGGGAAUAUUGCACAGUGGGCGGAAGCCUGAUGCAGCAACGCCGCGUGCGGGAUGACGGCCUUCGGGUUGUAAACCGCUUUCGCCUGUGACGAAGCGUGAGUGACGGUAAUGGGUAAAGAAGCACCGGCUAACUACGUG
rnacentral:rRNA from 1 species